ACAUAGAGUGAUCCAGACAAUCCUUUAGGGAAAACUUAUUUUUAAAACAAUCUAAAUUCUCAGCAGCUUCAGCUAUUACCACAGAACACUCUAUGGUCUGCUCUCAGUUUGCAGUUCCAUCCUUGCCCUAGCUCUCCUGACUUAUAAAUUUAUGUUUUUGGUACCAGCCUAUCACCAUAAAAUAAAAUAAAAUAAAAUAAAAUAAAAUAAAAUAUAUCACCUUAUUUAUUAAGAUUUCCUUCUCUGUGUCUUCUUGUGUAUUUUCAUUUUAGAAAAUAGCUAAGGAAUCUCUCCUUUUAUAAAUCAUAUUCUCUUCCCCAGGCUAAUAUCUAUAUCUAUAUCAUCUAUAUCUAUAUCUAUAUCUAUAUCUAUAUCUAUAUCUAUCUAUAUCUCUCUGUUCUGUGUGUAUAUUACCUCUCUACAUUUAUAAAUUCACUGUAAUCAUAGAUACAUUCUUGCUUUACUACUAUUACUACUACUACUAUAACUAAUAUUUUGCUAUAUUCCUGUAUAUAUAUUGGAUAUAAUUUUCAUCCACCAAUUUCUCUUGAUGACAGAUACCCUUGGAGCAUGAAAAAAAAAAACUUCUGCUAAUCUUAAAGAGAUUAUGAAUUAUUUCAGUACUGGAAGAGGAAGACCAGGCAGGCACAGCUUCUGGUCCUGCUAUGACAGUACUGUUCUGGGCUUGAGAAUUCUUUGUCUUCCACACUUGGAAAGUGAUUACACCAAAGUCGGAUUCAUUGGAAAUAUAUAAUUUCCUGUCAUGUCUGCAGACCCUGUCAGUAGAGAGAAGUUGAAACGCAUUCCCUGAAUGAAUCAAUGAAGACUAGAAGUGAAAGCCUCAUUAAUGUCUGAGGUUGAAUGCAGCUGGGCUGGCGCAGUCAUAGAAUUUGACUUUUCUUUGCAGUUUCUCAUUAAGCCCACAGAAUUCUUUGUGGGUGUCAUCUGAGCCUGGUGCGUAGGCAGUCACAUGGACAAAGCCUCUAGAGAAGAAUGUUCUUUGACAUGUAUGUAAGUUCAAGAAUUGUACUGUAGGUUACCAUGCAUUAUUGAGGGAAGUCAAGGCAGGAACUGAAGAACAAGCCAAGGAGGAACACUGAUUAUCAGAUUGAUUCCCAUGAUUGUGCAGCCUGUUUUUGUAUACUUCCUAGGACCACCUGUCCAGGAAGGACAACAUCACCCACAAUGGGCCUGGUCCUCCACAACAAUCAUUAAUCAAGGUUCAGAGGUUCAGUCCAUUAUCAUCAAGAUGGGAGCAUGGUAGCAUCCAGGCAGGCAUGGUGCAGGAGAAGCUGAGCGAUCUACGUCUUCAUCUGAAAGGGGCUAGGACAAGACUGGCUCCCAAGGGGUUAUGAAGAAAUCUCUUAAUUACAGUGAAGCAGCAAUCAAAAACAGAAAAGAGGACUGGCUCAUUCUUAACAAGAAUCUCAAAUGUACUGGGAACACUCUCAACUGGUAAAAUUCUAUCAAAUGUCAAAGGGAUAUAACCAGAAAAAUGAAGCAAUAUUUCAUGCAGAAAAUUUGCAAAAGAAGUGAAACUGAUUCCAAAGCCAAUGGAAACAUUUGGCUUUUAUGUGCUACAAUGAGAACAAACUGCUCUGCUCUUGUUAGCUUAAAGUUUUCAUUAAUCUGUAACUCUCAAAUUUUAUUUUGACUUCAUUUCUGCACAAACCUACGUGUUAAGUUUUAAAGUUAAACAACACAAUUCAAAUGAUUGCAGCUUUCUAUGAGUUUACUUUGUAUAAAUGCUUUUGAAUGUACUUGUGAAUGUUAGAAAUCUACUUUGAAAUAGGUCAUUACUAUGUAAAAGUGCAUAAUAUGUGCAUAUGUACACUGAUGUUUUCCCCUAUUUAUCCAUAUUGUUGUUAUUCAAGAGGAUCAGGAGGAGGUCAGUAUUUGAAGUAUGUACAAAGGUACCAGAGACACAGGAGAAAAAUACUUUAAAAUCCAUGGGAUAAUCAUGUCUCUUACAAAAGUUCUAUGUUUCAAACUCAUUUACAUAUGAGUUAAAAGAAAACAUUAUUUUAUUCAUGUUAGACUUUGAAAGGUCUAACCGCAGGAACAAUUUGUACGAUGGUACAUGAAUGUGUUCACAUUUUGACAAUUUUGCUAGUUUUAAUAACUGACAUUUAGUCCCCUGUUUUCUCACAGAUUAACUUCCUUCAGUUUUAGUCAGGACGGAUCAUCUGGUUUCUCUGUUUCAGUUUCUAUGCCUUUUGAGUUUCUGCUCCUAUUCAUUGAGAACUUUUCUUGUUUGUGGCGUGCAAUCUGCUGUUAAACCAGUACAGCUCAAAGGUAUCACUGUUAGGUUCAGAAGUUGUACCUGCUUCUCCGUAAUAGUAAAUAUGUUGUUGAUUUAAAACA